rnacentral:misc_RNA from 1 species
AAGGACGAAAAGCGGAGGUCGUUAACGGCCAACCAUUAACAAGUCGCGCUUCUGUUUCGUUCAGUUUUGAAGGAAUGAGAAAUUCCUUCAGUUGCUUUGCGUCUGUGCCUGCGUCUGCUAGCAGGUUCAGGGAAGCAAGAUUCCUCGGCACAAAGCCGCAAGGAAGUUUGUUCAAAGAAGUCGCUUUGCGUCUACAAGCGGAUUCGGAGAAGCCGAAUUCCUCGACGCAAACCAGCGAAGAAGCGAAUUCAAAGGAGCUACUUUGCGCCUGCGUCUUCUAGCAGAUUCAAGGAAGAUGGAUUCCUCGACGCAAAGCUGCAAAGAAGCAGACUCAAGGCAGCAGCUUCGUUCCUUGAAAACUAGAUAACCGGAAAAGCGGAGGCGAGCGUUUCGCCGCGAUGGGCAAAUGUUCUUCGCCUGGAGGGGAUGUUCACAUCCCGAAGGCGAAGGUUAUUUGACCCCGAGCGGCGGCGAGCCGAAGCUAGACAGUAAGGAGGAAGCCGAGAGCGCUGUA